rnacentral:misc_RNA from 1 species
GAAAUGCGAUAAGUAGUGUGAAUUGCAGAAUUCAGUGAAUCAUCGAAUCUUUGAACGCACAUUGCGCCCUAUGGUAUUCCGUAGGGCAUGCCUGUUCGAGCGUCAUUCAACCCUUCAAGCUCUGCUUGGUGUUGGGCGUCUGUCCCGCCUCACGGCGCGGACUCGCCUCAAAUCUAUUGGCGGCCGGCACGUUGGCUUCGAGCGCAGCAGAAACGCGAACUCGAGGCCCGGCGGAUCGGCUCCCAGAAGCUACCCCCUAUGAAUUUGACCUCGGAUCAGGUAGGUUUACUUGCCAGCAACCCCUAAUUUUUACAGGUUGACCUCGGAUCAGGUAGGGAUACCCGCUGAACUUAA